AUGGAGCCCAAGGGUAGCAUAUACAAAGAGAAUAAUAAAGGGCCCAAUACAGACUCCUGGGGCACACCACAACAGAGAGGGGCAACAGAGGAAGAGUAUCCUCCCAUCACAACAGAGAAGGAUCUAUCUGAGAGACGCCUGUUCAUCUCAGUGCUGCUGGCUGCUAUGUGCCUCGAAUGCAGAGCACAAAAAGACAACGUGCUGCAAGCAAAAGGAGAAGAGACUGCUGCUGCAGGAGGCACAGUAACACUUCGCUGUCUCUAUAACAGCAGCUUCCCAUCAGGUAAUAAUCUCUUCUGGUACAAACAGGAUGGAAACAACAGCCCCAAAUUCAUCCUGAGUCGUGUUAGUGGGGACCAAGGAAACACAGCAGCCGAGUUCAAGGAGAGAUUUUCAUCCACACUGGAUUCCAACAUCAGAUCAGUUCCUCUGAAGAUCCAGAAGCUUCAGCUGUCUGACUCUGCUGUGUACUACUGUGCUCUGCAGCCCACAGUGACAGGAAACACCAAAACUCUGUACAAAAACCUUUGGAGCAAAGACAACAGAAUACUCCACAACAUCCACUAGAGGGAGC